rnacentral:rRNA from 1 species
GGCCUGGCUGGGCGGUCCGCCUAACGGCGUUGUACUGUCUGGCCGGGCCUUACCUCUUGGUGAGCCGGCGUGCCCUUCACUGGGUGCGUCGGGGAACCAGGACUUUUACCUUGAGAAAAUUAGAGUGUUCAAAGCAGGCCUUUGCCCGAAUACAUUAGCAUGGAAUAAUGAAAUAGGACGUUGAUCUUAUUUUGUUGGUUUCUAGGAUUGACGUA